rnacentral:rRNA from 1 species
AUUGAACGCUGGCGGCAGGCUUAACACAUGCAAGUCGAGCGGGGGAAGGUAGCUUGCUACCGGACCUAGCGGCGGACGGGUGAGUAAUGCUUAGGAAUCUGCCUAUUAGUGGGGGACAACAUCUCGAAAGGGAUGCUAAUACCGCAUACGUCCUACGGGAGAAAGCAGGGGAUCUUCGGACCUUGCGCUAAUAGAUGAGCCUAAGUCGGAUUAGCUAGUUGGUGGGGUAAAGGCCUACCAAGGCGACGAUCUGUAGCGGGUCUGAGAGGAUGAUCCGCCACACUGGGACUGAGACACGGCCCAGACUCCUACGGGAGGCAGCAGUGGGGAAUAUUGGACAAUGGGGGGAACCCUGAUCCAGCCAUGCCGCGUGUGUGAAGAAGGCCUUAUGGUUGUAAAGCACUUUAAGCGAGGAGGAGGCUACUCUAGUUAAUACCUAGGAAUAGUGGACGUUACUCGCAGAAUAAGCACCGGCUAACUCUAUGCCAGCAGCCGCCGUAA